rnacentral:rRNA from 1 species
CGGUAACAGGAAGCAGCUUGCUGCUUUGCUGACGAGUGGCGGACGGGUGAGUAAUGUCUGGGAAACUGCCUGAUGGAGGGGGAUAACUACUGGAAACGGUGGCUAAUACCGCAUAACGUCGCAAGACCAAAGAGGGGGACCUUCGGGCCUCUUGCCAUCAGAUGUGCCCAGAUGGGAUUAGCUUGUUGGUGAGGUAACGGCUCACCAAGGCGACGAUCCCUAGCUGGUCUGAGAGGAUGACCAGCCACACUGGAACUGAGACACGGUCCAGACUCCUACGGGAGGCAGCAGUGGGGAAUAUUGCACAAUGGGCGCAAGCCUGAUGCAGCCAUGCCGCGUGUAUGAAGAAGGCCUUCGGGUUGUAAAGUACUU